UGAAAUUUGGAGGAGGGAGAUAAUAUGAGCACAAGAAGAGGCAUGCAAAAUUUCAACUCAUUUGGAUUCUCCUAGCUAGUACUUCCUUCACAUUGGCUUCUGUUUGACAGAAACUUUGAAAAAUCACUGAGGAAGAUUGGUUAGGCAAAUAAAGUUGAAUUUUGGCAUGUGGAAAUUAUUUGGACAUAAAAGAAUGCCCAACAAGUUUGGGAUCAAACAAGAUAAGAUAAAUGACACUUCCUUCACAAAGUGCCACCCUGGACAGAAAGGAAGAAUAAUUAUUGGGGAAUUAUUCUUGGGCUAGGACAGGACAGUUUGGUCAUAUUUGAGCAACAUAUGACCCAAAGGAAUUAUGAGAAUUAUUUGGGAAUUUUUGGAUGGACAGAAAUAUAGGUUGCUUCACAACCUAGGGCAGACAGGGUUAUUCCCUUAAUAGAAAAAGGAAUAUUCCUGAGAAAAAGAAAUUAGGGUUUGGUCAAGCAGUGAAGUGACAUGAUCUUGGCAAGGUUUUGAGAAUGAUGAGCCACUUGGGAGAGGAAAUGAAGGUGAUUUCCCAGGUGGCAAGGCCACAGAACCACCCCAAAAAGAAAAACAGAGCAAAAACUAAUAAAUCAAAAAGAAAAAGAAAAGGGCCAAAAACCAGCCUGUUACAAACCUUCCCCCCUUAAAGAAAUCUCGUCCUCGAGAUUUGGUUGCUCAGGGAACAAGUAUGACUUUAGGACACCGUUUCCAACUCGGGUAUCCUUUUUCCUUUAUUUAGUGUUCCCCCAAGAAUUUCAUAUGAUUUUCUUCCCUUGCUCUGGGGUGGUUUGCUUCACCUUUCCCAAAUCCUGACAGGUUUUUGCUCAUACCAAUUCCUUUUUACUGGCGUUGAUUCUCCAUACCCGGGGUGAUAUCCAACGGAUCUGAGCAUAAAUUUUUUUUUGGUCAUGAAAACCUUUUUACUCUUGUCAUGGGGUUGCUUCAAACAAAUGCAGGCCUUCUGUUUUCAACAAAUGCUGAGAGUUAAUCAUGGCCAUCUUCUGACGGGAUCUGACUGCUCAUAAGUGGUACCGAUUUAUUUGAUUUAUUUUUUUGGCUCGAUCAUGGGAUAUCUACCAAAGAUUUGACUGCCUUCUGUCGUGAGAAAUAUAACAGGGUAUAGACUUAUAACUGUAGCAUACCUCAAUUAUUGACAUCUUGAGACUGUCCUGACAGGUAUGCUGGUGGGAAGAUACUUUUCAUGACAGGUUGUCCGGGUACUAGGUUACACAAGUGGAUAUACCUGGUCUGAGCUGAUUUUUCGAUUUUUGAUUUGCCCAUGUUGUCGGUAUACCCAGAUGUGGUAAUAGGCUGUGCGAUGCUUUACACUGUUACUGAAGUCAAACUGCUGAGGUUGCAAAAGAAUCUUGGAUCUGACAGAACAGACUUGGAUAUUCCACACUAACCAUUCCAAGUGGGUCAGCGGGAUAUGAAAUCCUUGUAAAACAUAGUAGGCCUCUGAGGGUAUGCCUUUGGGGAUCAUAUGGAAUUAGGGCCUCCAACUGAUUCGGGUAUCCGGACCUUGAUGGUCGUGCAGAAAUCAUCAUACCUUUGCUGUCAGUCUCACCCUUUAACGGUCAUGAUUUUCUUUGUCAGGAUAUCUUACUGAAAUAGGUUGGCAACAUAUAUCAUUGAUUCUUCGUAUGACCAUGGUUGUGGCUAGUGCAAUAUUUUGUCAUUACUCCUGGUGCUUGGGUUCCACACGUAUAUGACAUAUACUCGGGGCUUGUAGCUGUACAGAGCUCUUUGUUGAGGCCAACCAUACAAGAGUUCAUGAGAUCUCCUUGUCGGUGCGGGAAUAUUGGCCUUGGUGGCCACUGUCAAGACUGUUGAUUCUGUGAUGUCUUAUCCAGAUCUUAUAGAUCCUUGUAUUACAUAAGAUGUGUAUCUCUGCUUAUCUUCAUUUGCAUGAUUCAUGAGGUUGGGGGAUCCUUACUUUCCUUAGGUAUACCUGUUGGAUCCUUGUCAUACCUCGUAUGAGUGACUGAUAUUAUUGGGGAUGCAUGCUCACCAUAUGUGUAAGAAUCAUAUGCAACCGAACACUUGAUUCUUGAGGUAGGCAUAUGUUUUGACUGAUUUGUGCUUCUGACCAAAAAUAUUGCGGAUCUGACUCUUGAGCUGUAUUGCCAUAUAUUGCCAACUCACCGCAUAAUCUCUGAGGGCGGUGCAAUAGUGUGGUACUGACGCAGAUUAAUUGUCUUACAAGAGAAGCCAUCCGAGUAGCUUGCUGAGGAAGACUUGUUAACUUCUGCUCAAAUCUUUUGUCUGGGUAUCGUGUCAAAGAAGGCUCUAUAGCUUAUACAUGAAGCUUGGUCUGAUUAUUGUGCUGGAGAAGCCUGAGUUCCGUACUUGAGAAGCUUCUCCUCGGGUUUGCUUGUUGAGAAAAAUUAUUUUCAUCUGUCAGAAGCUUUUACUGAGGUAUCUUGCUGAGACAGACCGGGUAUCUUGGACCAGAAAUUGUUCACAUGUCAUGCUGAGGAAAAUCGAGGAGCCUUGCAUCAUAAAUUUCUUCCGAUAGCGUGUGGAAGAAGACUGAGUUUCUUACAUCCAAAGCUUCAUACUAAUAUGCAGACUGAAAUCUACGCACAUGCCCAUAAUAUCCGGUGGCUGAUUAUUUGCAUGAGAAAAUUUGUUUGACUGUCUUCCUUGAGCAUAUCACAUUCUGACUUUAUUUCGGAUGAUAACAUAUCUCAAGCAUCAUGCAUUGCUGAGCCAAUUUUUUUGUAUAUGAUCCAUACCUCUAACUGAAAAUAUACCGUUGAUCUUGUACCUGACUUGCCUUGCGGCUUACUUGAUCAUUACUGCUGUGAGAUUUUGUACUGAUGUGGACUUGACUUAUCAGUACUGUUGUGAGGAGUGCACACUAAUGCAAAAUUGAUUAUCAGCCUCAAAGUCAGAUAUUCCCAAUUCACCGCAGUCGCCUGAGAAUUCCAUUCUGUUUAGCUGAGUUUCCAAAUAUUUAAACUCCUUGUUGCUUCUUUGAGUCCGGUGUUGGUUGAUGAGCAACUCUUUAUAGGGGGAAAAAUAAUGUAACACCGGGGCCCAAAAGACAGAAGCAAAAGAAAACUCAACUAAACAACAUCACACAACAACAAUCAAUUCACACACAAUCAAUGUCACAUAUUACUACUAGUCACACAAUAUGCAUGCCUACUUAAGCACACAAAUCUCGCGGGAUCUCCGGUUCUACGAUCUAGCAUGCUGUGACGGUGUGCACGAGGACGAAUAUGUGUGGAAGAAUUGGGUGUAAACAACGCUAAACCAAGUGCUGGCUUAGCCAGGUAGCAACCUGGACUAGCUCGGAGGCGAGGACGCACUCAGUAAUCAUGUAGUGGGACACGAAGGUCGCAACCACGUUAUUAUCAAGCGGAUGGAAAAAGAUUCGUACUCGUCCAAGGAAUAGGAUAGCGGGAGAAAACUGAGGCUGCUGACAUUGCCCUUUCUUGAUAACUAAGAUCAUUAAGGGUUGCCAACAUGACAAAAUGAAAAAGCGAUUCGGGAUAGAAGCAUGUCCAUCACCGAAACGAUAGGCGGGGCUGAAAGGAGGAUAUCGGCGAGAUACCUGAGCACCAGUUUUGCAAACGGUGUCGGGAUCACUUGGCAUCACUCUGCUGGGACAGAAAUGACACCAAACACCGAAGAACGAGCAAUAAAAGAAAACUGGAGAAAUGCAAAGGCUGAGCUGUAGUGGAUCCAAACCGAUGCCAGCUACACUCACUAGAUAAACCGUUAGCAACAAAUACUAAGGCUAUAUGCAUAUUAUGCAGCAACCAAAUGCAAUAAACAAGCCGUACUUUAAACUACCGAUUUCUACCGGUUUCUACCGCUCGCGCUGACUAGGGUGUCCUACAGCCAGACCUGCUUUGAUACCAAGCGUUGUGCCACCUCGGCUCAGAGAAACCGGAACACCCCGUAUUCCAGCCCAGAGAUCGAGGAGAAGUCUUCUGGAAUACGGCACUGCUUAGCAUAGAACAAACCAGCUUUCUAUUAUUACACGAAUAUGAACACAAGGUCUCCGAUAUUACAAUGAAUAACAUCGGCACGGCGACACUACGCCUGCCACGGUUGCUCUAUGCAAGCAGCAGGACAACACGAUGCAGCGGAAUAACUCUAGCAGCGGAACAACGACGACGGUGGUGAACUCCACUCCACAGGGACUCUGGCUGGAACGCUUAUCCUAGCUCGCACGAACGGAAACCACGACAAGCAAGCAAUCAAAUCCGGCAUGACCUGCAAACUGGCAUGACACGCCAGGUCAGUACAUUGAAUGUACUUGCAAGCUCACAAUAACCAGAAGCAUUCAAGACAUACAACAGCAUGGCAAUUACAGGCUAAACACGGAUUAACAUUGUAUUAUCCGAACAACAUAGCAUGAACAACAUGAUACAAGUAGAACAAUAUGAGCAUGGCAGGAACAUAUAAACAUGAUGACACUAUCAUGCAACAUGAUGACAUUAUCAUGCACCAACUUACUCUGCUCGGGUUAUCUCGUAACCAUCACAUGCAGCACUUACCAACCUCGGACAUCACACGAUCAUCUUAGGAUCAAAUCAAGCUUGGUAUAAACAAUACCAUAGUAAUCAUUAAAUGAACACAAGGAGCUUGAUCUUUACCCACGAUUCUCGCACAACAUCAUGAAUAUCCAACAAUUCGGUAUCCUCGAUACCACGGUGAUCAUUCACGGGUCACAAACGAAACCACUCUGGGCUCAAUGGGUUACCUCGUAAUCAAACGGUGAUCAUUCACGGAUCACAAACGGAACCACUCUGGGCUCAACGGGUUACCUCGUAACCAAACGGUGAUCAUUCACGGAUCACAUCACCAACAUAUGUCAUCAUCGAACCAGGGUUGUUAUUAAUCAAGUUAUUAUGAAUUACUGUUGACUCACAGUGUGACCGACUACGAACUGGGCCCUUAUCCGCGGGCGCGGCUAUCGAUAGAUUUAAUAUACACUCUGCGGAGGUUAGCACACUGUACCCACACCAUGGAACCCAUGACCUCGCACUCCCAUUUCGGGUUAACCAACGGCGUUCCGACAAAACCGAUCUACUGCCAUGACACUCCCCGGCCACUCCGACCCACUCCCCACUGGGCUAGUCCUGGGUGGCCCCGUGUCUACCAAAGACACCAAUGGCCACCGUCGUGGCAAAACAGCCACCAUCGUGGCAAAAACGGUCCCAAACGGGGAUCCAUAACAACAACAACGGUCACACAAGGCUUAUGUCCGCCUACCUGAUCAGGGUAGCGCGCGCCCAUAACCUUCCCUCGUUGGAGGCACCGGAGAUAGGCACGACAAUAGACCCAGUUAGGACCUUCCCAUAAAGGUAAGCGUGGUUGCACUGGUCAGCUCGAUAUGGUGGCACCAUGACUCAGCCAACAGUUGUUCAAGUUCAAUUUAAUCUGGUUAAACUUGAAUGCAAAUAUGCUGAGUCAUGAUAAAAUAACAUGAUGCAAUGACAAUGCAUGAGCAUGAUAUCAACAUAAGCAUGAGGGUACAACAUAACUAUCCACCAUAUCAACAAUGAAUCAUAUCCAACUGAGCAUGGCAUAAUGGCGAGCAUGAAUAUCACAAGUACAAUACUACUCAUAGUAUAACAUGACCGCUAUCAUCAACAAUAAAUACCAUGCAAUAACACAUCAAUAAUGUUACCGAGUAAACACUUAACCAACUAACAGCAAAGGAACAAUGCAUAUCAACGGUACUCGGUAACCGACGUUAGUCAUGCACCGAAGAACAUGACCAACCCAACAUGUACUACCAACAAGCAUGGCAAUAUUAAAGUAAUACAAGCAACUAGAAUAUGAUAACAGAGUGCAAGAAAACAUAGCAUGACGGUAGUCACCGAUCCAUAAGCAUAACCGAAAUGACGACAGCAGUAGCAAAACAAACAGACAGUUAUUAAAGAUUCAAGUUGAAAACCAAUGCUACUGCAUGGCUAUCAUGCAAAUGGUGGUUGUGGUUUGCCUGGGGAUGAAGAAAACACCGGGAAGUUGUGUGGAAAGAUCGCAGAAAGAUUCACCGGAAACACUUCACUCUCGAAAGGGGCUGGUUAACGGCAAGGGCAAAAAGGGCAUUUUCAAUGUGUCAAACCAUAGUGAAAAUGAAACCAACAGAACGGGCUCGACGAGACGAAGACGUGGGCUUUGGAUUCACCUGAUUUGGAGUUGGGAGUAAAAAGAUAUGAGUGUUUGACUGCCAGGAACCCAUCUGUAAUGAAAAUAUUUUCAAACAGGGCCUGGACAGAAAAACAGAAAGCGUAAUUAGAAAAAUAUGCUUUCACUGAACUGAAAACGUAUUCAUGGCUGAAGAAGAGAGAAAGUGCGAUUUCGGUUGAGGAAAAAGUAUUCCGAAGAAUACGCUUUCACUUAUCCACGUCAUCAGCGGCGGGGCCGGGCUCCUGGGUCACUUACAGGUGGGGCCGCCGUUGACUCUCUCUCCUUCCUCGUUCCUUCUUCUUCCUCCCGCGCUCGAGAGAGGCAGAGGCAAGGCCAGCCACCUCAACGGCGAGUCCCGGCGACUCCGGCCAUCUCCCGUGGAGCUCGGCACACCGGCGUGCUCGGGAAGAAGCGGCGCAUCUGAUGGCGUAGGGCACGACCACCGAGGAGCACCGAGGCGAGGGCAGUUUCUAGGACGGCGGACGGUGGCUACGGGCGAUGAUGGACUUGGCAUUCCAAGCCACCCGAGGAGGAGGAGGAGGAGAAGAUGUGGGAAGGUUCGGGAUGCUCCGGGAUGUCUACUGGAGGUGGAAAGAGGAAGAGGGAGGCUUGGACUCCAGCUAAUUUAGGAGGGAGGCCGCGGCGGCCAUGGUGGCGAUGGGGGUCGAGGAGAGUGGCUUGAGCUCGGGCAAGGCACUAGGGAGGACUAGAGGAGGGUUGUGAGGCUGGUGGUGAGCUCGGACGAGGCCGUGGAUGGCUAUUUAUAGUCGGGGCGAGAGGCCUGGGCUCGGGUGCCGCCGGGCACUUGUGGCCGAGGCUCUGACGAGCUCAUCGAGCACGGGAGGGCGCGGGAACACGACGAGCCAAUGAUUUAGAGGUCACGGAGGGGUAGACGACGCCGGAGAGCAGAGGAAGAGGCCGAGGUGAGCUCGGAGCCAAACGGAGCACUGUGCCCCCGUGGGCGUUCGGCGGCGAGCGUUGGUGAGCGUCGGUGAGGAAAUGGACGGAGGGGGAGAGGGGCCCAGGGGAACGGCGACGACAAGAGGAAGACAAUGGACAUGGUCACGCGCGCGAAGGCGACGAGAGGAGGAGGUGCCGAAGCACAAACGGCCACUAGACGCGGCCACUGCACACAGAGCGUGUGCACUAUGAUGCCAUUAACGCGGUCACCGCGUGCACUGGCAUGUAGUGGGGGAGAUGGGCUUGAACAUGUUGUCUAGUGGUAAGUUCUUCCAGGGGAGGUUUCUACUGCGGUGGUAGAUCGAUGAAAACUGCUCUGGUUAAAUGGUAAGUAACCUCUGAAGUUUACUGCAGUAAACUUGGUCGUGAACUGCUGAGCAACAGGAAGGAGAUUAGGAGCAAUGGAGUUGUCUGCAAGGUUUAGGGUAAGAAGGACUUUCAUCCUGGUAACUUUGAGAAGAUUUGGACCAAGAUAAAUCACAGUUGCUUCACAACUACAUAUUUAGUCCAGAAUCAAGAUCAUGAUGGUGCACUCACAUGGAGUAUCAAAUUGAGCUCAAAUUUGGCAAGGCUUAGUGAUUUGGUCAUACUAAGAAGCUGUAACAAUUUCAUACCAAUUGGAUUCACCAAAAUGGUACUUCCUUCACAGCUAUCUUCACUGCCCAGAAUCUUGCAAGAAUUUUGGAGAAAUAUUGGCUAGGUGAAAUUGUGCCAAAUUUGGUGGAGAGAAGUUAUAUAGGUAGGAUCAUGAUCUGGUAAUUUAUCAAGAUUUUUGAAGCAAUAUAAAAUGCACUUACUUCACAACCUGAAAUUUUUGCCAGAAUCAAAGAUUUGGUCCCGUGCUCACAUAGAUGAUUGUAUGGGGCUGAAAUUUGGAGGAGGGAGAUAAUAUGAGCACAAGAAGAGGCAUGCAAAAUUUCAACUCAUUUGGAUUCUCCUAGCUAGUACUUCCUUCACAUUGGCUUCUGUUUGACAGAAAUUUUGAAAAAUCACUCAGGAAGAUUGCUAGGCAAAUAAAGUUGAAUUUUGGCAUGUGGCAAUUAUUUGGACAUAAAAGAAUGCCCAACAAGGUUGGGAGCAAACAAGAUAAGAUAAAUGACACUUCCUUCACAAAGUGCCACUCUGGACAGAAAGGAAGAAUAAUUAUUGGGGAAUUAUUCUUGGGCUAGGACAGGACAGUUUGGUCAUAUUUGAGCAACAUAUGACCCAAAGGAAUUAUGAGAAUUAUUUGGGAAUUUUUGGAUGGACAGAAAUAUAGGUUGCUUCACAACCUUGGGCAGACAGGGUUAUUCCCUUAAUAGAAAAAGGAAUAUUCCUGAGAAAAAUAAAUUAGGGUUUGGUCAAGCAGUGAAGUGACAUGAUCUUGGUAAGGUUUUGAGAAUGAUGAGCCACUUGGGAGAGGAAAUGAAGGUGAUUUCCCAGGUGGCAAGGCCACAGAACCACUCCAAAAAGAAAAACAGAGCAAAAAC
rnacentral:lncRNA from 1 species